UGACAUAUAAACCCUACAAUCAUUCUAGAUCAUAGGUGAGUAGCCAAUAACAACACCCCCUGAUGCCUAGAAAUAAACAUCUAGAGUGGAUACAAAUAUGGGUGAUCCAAUAACACCCUUCUAUGUCUAAGAAAAUACAUCUAGAGUGUAGAUAAGUAUGGUUGGCCUAAGAGUGAAUCUAGGAUAGACUCUGAUACUAUUUUAGAAUUUGAGUAUAGGUCUAAUAUAACCUCCAAAAGCUACCUCCUUUUCUGCUUCCAAGUCAUUUACGCAAAACCAAAGAGACAACCAUGAGUCACAUUGGCUUGUCCUUCCUCUUCCUCAUUUCUUUAGCACUUCUCUCUAUUGCCA
rnacentral:lncRNA from 1 species